GCCGCUCCUGGCUGAUGCGGCGCGACGCCCCGGUCCUGACGGCGGAGCCCAACGCGGCGCACCGCGCGAUCGCGGCGUACGAGCGGACC
rnacentral:tRNA from 1 species